GUUAAUGUAGCUUAAAUUUAAAGCAAAGCACUGAAAAUGCUUAGAUGGUCUGUGAUAUAGUCCCAUAAACA
rfam:Monodelphis domestica chromosome 7, whole genome shotgun sequence.